rnacentral:rRNA from 1 species
UACGUAGGGUGCGAGCGUUAAUCGGAAUUACUGGGCGUAAAGCGUGUGCAGGCGGUUCGUUAUGUCCGAUGUGAAAGCCCCGAGCUUAACUUGGGAAUGGCAUUGGAAACUGGCGGGCUGGAGUGCGGCAGAGGGGGGUGGAAUUCCACGUGUAGCAGUGAAAUGCGUAGAGAUGUGGAGGAACACCGAUGGCGAAGGCAGCCCCCUGGGCUAACACUGACGCUCAGGCACGAAAGCGUGGGGAGCAAACAGG